rnacentral:lncRNA from 1 species
UAGGAGCAAUUGAUUAAGGGUCAGCCUACCAAAGAGGAAGCCUCUAUAAAUAAUUAGUUUGUCUGUUUAUGUUAUCACUUAGCUCGGACUGUCAUUAUCCAUCCUACAAUCAAGUUGAAAUCAGAGACUCAUUUACAUGGAUAUAAAUGAAAAUUGUCUACUGCUAAUUUGAUGUUCUCAACCAGACACAUCCAGAUUAGUAUGGAAGAAGGAAAGCCUGAUCAAUACUUACAGGAUAUAUCUCAACUGCCAAAAAUGAGACAGUGUGAAGAACAGAAACCAAUGCAAUGCGCAGCUUCGAUGUUUCCCGUGAUGGCCUGUCUGAGAGCAGAAAGAUGAAAGUUACUCUCCUGAGCCCUGCAAGUACAAGGCUGUCCCAAAUCCUUCCUGAUAAGCAUCAAACGGAGACAACCAGCUACAAGAAAUUCCUCCAGCAACAGAAUAAAUAUUGGCACGCCAAGAAAUAAUCUACUGAUGGGGACAGAGGCUCUGAAAAUCAUCCUGUGACUAGUCAAUCCCAAGUUCAGUGGCAAAUCCUCAUCUUGACACAAUCAGGAAGAUGUCAAAUUUGAAACAGCAACUGGAGACAUAUCUUCUCAAGCCUAUACGAAUACAUUUUCAGCUGCAGAAGUUGUGUGAUGCAAAAAUCAAGGUAAACAAGCAAGUUUGUCUUUUAAAAAUAAUCAGGCUUGGUUGUGAUAACUUGAAGUACAAUAUUCCCUUUUUAUUGAGUUCAUUUCAGGAUAUAUAUAUAUAUAUGUAUAUAUAUAAUUUAUUUAUUUACUUUUAUUUAUUUUUUAAAAUAUUUUUUAAUGUUUAUUCAUUUUUGAGAGACAGAGAGAGAGCAUGAGUGGGGAAGGGGCAGAGAGAGGGAAACACAGAAUCUGAAGCAGGCUCCAGGCUCUGAGCUGUCAGCACAGAGUCUGACGCGGGGCUCAAACCCAAGAACUGUGAGAUCACGACCUGAGCUGAAGUCGGACGCCCAACCGACUGAGUCACCCAGGAGCCCCUCAGGAGAUAUUUUUUUAACUGAGGUACACAUUAUGUACAGAAACAAAAUAUUUUUUCUAGAAAGUAUUAGAAACUUCCUGAAUAUUUAGGUCCUGAGAAGCUGUUUUUCAAAAAUAUCAGUUUGCCUUGCCAUAAGAGAAGUAUCGGAUUCAAAGGAUAAGAGACAGAGAAGCACAGGGAGACGCAGACACACACACACACACACACACACACACACGCACACAACUCAUACACACAGACACACCAAUUGCCAGUAUUUGCUGUUAAUGUACGAAAGAUUUUUUCCCCAAAUUCUGUAAAAUCUACCUCUUUUAAGAGCUCAUAAAACAAAUGUAACAAUUCUGAUCUAGAAAUUUCUAAAUUAAUCUCAAAAGUUUUGGUUCAUUCUAGAUAUUUCUUGAACAAAAGAUGCCUUUGCACUGACUUGUACAUGAAUAGCUCAGUAAGUAAGUAAGUACUUAUUGAUCUGGUUGGAAGAUUGCCCUAACAGAUGAUGAUUUUUCAGGGUCCAGGGUUAUACUUUAUGUAGGUUUAUAUCAGCAUCACUGGGCACUGGGCCCUCUCACAUACUAGCUACUCAACAGAAGUUUGUUGAAUGGAUGAAUCUGUUCCACUUAUUAUCUUACCAUCACCUGUAUUCUACAAAACAACAGGGCAGCAAACUCAUGGGUUGGUAUUCAGGAAGAUCAUAAACCAUAGCCAUCCCAACACUAUAGAUUUAGUUACUUGGUUUAAGUUAAUUACAAUUUUUUUAAAUUAGAACAACAAAAUACCUGAGCACCUGGCUUUCUGACGUCAUGCUCAGCUGUAUCUACAGGAUGUCCCUACAAAAGUCUUUG